rnacentral:lncRNA from 1 species
ACUUGUGUUCAUCAUUUCCCAACACAAAACUAUGCCUUGACUAGUUACAUUCAAUCAACUCAGACACCCAUAAAUCUAAUCAACCAUGACCCUAUUUUAAAUAAACUAUGUAGAGGGUCUACAAUGAGAAUUAAUCUGUAUAUGAAAUUUUGAAUAGUUAAAAGAUGCUUUGUAGGAGAAUGAAUACCAGAAUCCUCCUCCAGGAAUUUGGUCUGAGAGAAGCAGUGCAUAAAGUUAGGCAAAUAAAAGCUUCACUUCACAUAUGCUACUUAAAGAAUAUAUAUUUCUGCGUGUCGAAUAAGUUAAUGACCAGCUGUUUGUAGCCUUAUUUUGCUGAUCUUUAGCUGUAAACAGAAACCAUGGCCAAUCAUAUAUUGUGUUCUUCUAAAAACAGAAAAACAAAUAAGGACAUUGCAACCUCUUUUACAUGACAGUUUACUUUUCAAUAAAAUAAAAUAUCAUGUUAAAAGCAAAUAAGGACAGAAAGCAUGUGCAUCAAUACCAUUGAAGACUGAAACUAAACUCUUUCUAUGACAGUUUUACUUUUCAAUUCAUUGUAUAAAACAAAUAGAAACUAAACUCUUUCUAUCACAGUUUACUGCAAAUAUCCGUUCCUCAAUAUCUAACAGUCAUAUUUUAUGUAGGCGAGAUAUUUAGAAUCCGACUCUUGCUCCAAUCUUUUAAAUUUAAAUAUAUAAAAAAAUGCAUGAACAGAUUAAAAGAUUUAAAUUAUAAAAAGACAGAAGAAAAGAAAAGAACAAAAACAAAAACAAAGAGCGCACAAAUAAGAGCAAAAUUAUGAACAGUGUCUUUAAAUUUCUCCUCAUCAAAAAAUUGAAGUAUAAGGAACACAAGUUCUCUGCUAAGCACAACCCAAUCCAAAAGUACUCACUUUUAUAAUUGAGAUUAAAAACAGUGAGAUUUAUGGAGUUUAAUAAUAUUUUUGAGUUCAAAUUCAAAGUCAAAACCCUUAAAUUCAGAAUUCAACAAAUUGAUUCUUCUUUCAAAUUUUUUAUUUAUUUUGAUUUUGAUAACAUGGAUAUGAAUUAAGUAACUUGGAGCGAACUCGUAAAAAAUUAAAAAAAAAAUUUUAAGUUCCAACUCGUAAAUUCAACAACCUAAUAACAUUAUCCAUAAAUUAAAAAAAAGAUAUAAAAAAUUACCAGAUUAAUUGCACAGAUCAGGAGAAAUUUUUGGAGAAAUCGAAGAGAACGGUAGGUCAUUUUACUGGAGAAAGCGAAGCGAAGAGAAAAGGGUUAGGAUUUGAAAGAUGAGAAAAUAAAUUAAGAAACAAACAAAAUGAAAAACAUAAAAACUUACACAGCGAUGCAGCAGAGGACUGUCGAC